GACUGUAUAUGAUCGUAUAUGCCAAUUUAUUCAUAAGGGUUUUAUAUCUGUCAAGUGGAAUGUUUUGUUUAAGUUUCAUACUCCUUUCGUAUGUAGUCUAUCAUUUUUAGAUAUUUUAAUUGAUUUGAACCGUCCAAUGCCAAAGCUUUCAUGUGACAAUUUCCUGCUUCCAUCAAUUCACCUUUCAGAUAACACGCAAUACCAAGAAGUGUGUAACAUUCUGCUUUCAUGACAUGAUUACCAAUAUAUUUAUUGGUUUCAAUGAAUGAUUUCAUAUCAUUUAAAGAAUCUAAACAUUUCUGCGUCUUCUUCAGCUUAUAAAACUAAUAAAACGUAAAAAAUAAUGUGUACGCAAUUGGAGGCUUCUGGAUAUAUCCCUUGUAUUUUCAGGAAUUAAAAAAGAGUUGCGUUGAAAAUCGUUCGGCUCCAUGGUAUUAUCUGUGUAUAUUGCGCUUAAAUCAGUAUCAUUGCAUCUCCGUGGUAAAUAGUCGAUGGUAAACUUAUCCUCACUGUAAUACAGUUUCUCUUGUUUUCCUUCCUUAAUCUUUGAUAACACGUAGUCAGUGAUUUUGAGUGAAACUGAAUAUUUCCUUACACAAUAAUAGUAUGUAGCUAAAUAAUUCCAUCCCGAUACGGCAUCACUGCGUACUCCCAUUAUGACGAAGAGUAAUAUCUCCUUUAAAAUUUGAUAAUGCAGUUUAUUUUCACACUGGGUAACAUACUGGUAGGUAAAACGGCUACCAAUAUUGCGACACAACGUAUUGAAUAUAAAGCUUAAUAUAAACCGGUCGUUUUUUUCGCUUGAGCAGCUCUAAAGUAUUAAUCAAUACCUGUUUCGGUGUAAGUAUGUUUGUAGAUGUUGGCUGGCCACAUAGAAGCAUAAAUCUUACUUCAUUAAGCUUGGUUAGAUUGGCGAAACAUUUAGAAAACUUUCUCAUGUCCGUUCCUCUCAAUGUAGGCGACAAGUUUUGGGAUACAUGUACAUAUAGAGGCGCAAGGAAAACGACGGACAUAAAACUUGACGAAACAAGACAUGCAGAGAAAUUUUUAUACAAUCGAACUAUUGUUGUUUUCAAAUUAUUCCAAUCUGGUUUAGUAAUUCUACGUUCAAACAUAUUCCUUUCCGUUAUAAAAUAAUGAGGCAUGAUAUUGUGUUUUACGUAGUAUAAAAGUCGUUUAAGGCAUUCUAGAAAGCAAUUCACAAAAUUAUGCGGUGUCCAUCCAGUAACAUCAAUUUCUUCUGAAAUCCAGAAAACAACUGUCUUUAAAAAAUACGAACAUAGAAGCUUUUUAAAUUUUAGAUUUCGUUCAAUCACGUCUUUUAACAAUAUUUUUAGAAGGGCAUAAACCAAAAGCUGAGUAUGAGUAAAAUAAAACACUAGCAUUAUUUCAGCUACCGUGAAUGCAGCUCGCCAUUCUAUAUCUUUAUUU
rnacentral:lncRNA from 1 species